rnacentral:RNase_MRP_RNA from 2 species
CAAUGAUGCCAAGGACCACUUUUUGUGUUUUACUUUCAGAUAUCUUCCAGAUAUCUUUUUCAUUCUACACAAGGAGAAAGUCUCCGGACAAAUCAAUUGACUGAAAAAGCCAAGAUAUAAAUGUUUUUUUGGCAUUUAUUAGUUGUUCAGUCAAUUGAAUCACUUUGUCAUGAUUCAUAGUUAUGUGGUCACCCUCGAAAGAGAGUAACAGGAUGGAGCUUACUCUGGCUAUUUUU